rnacentral:rRNA from 1 species
GACGAACGCUGGCGGCGUGCUUAACACAUGCAAGUCGAACGGGAGUAUCGAAGAAGCUUGCUUUAGAGAUACUUUAGUGGCGGACGGGUGAGUAACGCGUGAGGAGCUGUCCUAUGCAGGGGGACAACAGUUGGAAACGACUGCUAAUACCCCAUAAGCCGAGAGGUAAAAGGAUUUAUCCGGCAGAGGAGGUACUCGCGUCCUAUCAGCUAGUAGGUGAGGUAACGGCUCACCUAGGCGAAGACGGGUAGCCAGCCUGAGAGGGCGAACGGCCACACUGGAACUGAGGUACGGUCCAGACUCCUACGGGAGGCAGCAGUGGGUAAUAUUGGGCAAUGGGGGGAACCCUGACCCAGCGACGCCGCGUGGGUGAAGAAAUCCUUCGGGAUGUAAAGCCCUGUUGUAUGGGAAGAGCGGAAGACGGUACCAUACGAGGAAGCCCCGGCAAACUACGUGCCAGCAGCCGCCGUAA